CACGUAGGGUGCGAGCGUUGUCCGGAAUUAUUGGGCGUAAAGAGCUCGUAGGCGGUCUGUCGCGUCGGCUGUGAAAUCCCGAGGCUCAACCUCGGGUCUGCAGUCGAUACGGGCAAACUAGAGUAUUGCAGGGGAGACUGGAAUUCCUGGUGUAGCGGUGAAAUGCGCAGAUAUCAGGAGGAACACCGGUGGCGAAGGCGGGUCUCUGGGCAAUAACUGACGCUGAGGAGCGAAAGCGUGGGGGAGCGAACAGG
rnacentral:rRNA from 1 species